UACGUAGGGGGCUAGCGUUGUCCGGAAUCAUUGGGCGUAAAGAGCGUGUAGGCGGUCCGGUAAGUCAGCUGUGAAAGUCAAGGGCUCAACCCCGGGAGGCGGGUGGAUACUGUCAAGCUCGAGUCCGGAAGAGGAGUGUGGAAUUCCUGGUGUAGCGGUGAAAUGCGCAGAUAUCAGGAGGAACACCAAUGGCGAAGGCAGCACUCUGGGACGUGACUGACGCUGAGACGCGAAAGCGUGGGGAGCAAACAGG
rnacentral:rRNA from 1 species